rnacentral:rRNA from 1 species
CGCGUAGGCGGACAGUUAAGUCGGGGGUGAAAGCCCGGGGCUCAACCUCGGAAUUGCCUUCGAUACUGGCUGUCUUGAGUGCGGGAGAGGUGUGUGGAACUCCGAGUGUAGAGGUGAAAUUCGUAGAUAUUCGGAAGAACACCAGUGGCGAAGGCGACACACUGGCCCGUUACUGACGCUGAGGCGCGAAAGCGUGGGGAGCAAACAGGAUUAGAUACCCUGGUAGUCCACGCCGUAAACGAUGAGUGCUAGUUGUCGGCAUGCAUGCAUGUCGGUGACGCAGCUAACGCAUUAAGCACUCCGCCUGGGGAGUACGGUCGCAAGAUUAAA